CAGUCGCCGCGGGAAUACGAAGGGGGCUAGCGUUGCUCGGAAUCACUGGGCGUAAAGGGUGCGUAGGCGGGUCUUUAAGUCAGAGGUGAAAUCCUGGAGCUUAACUCCAGAACUGCCUUUGAUACUGAGGAUCUUGAGUUCGGGAGAGGUGAGUGGAACUGCGAGUGUAGAGGUGAAAUUCGUAGAUAUUCGCAAGAACACCGUGGCGAAGGCGGCUCACUGGCCCGAUACUGACGCUGAGGCACGAAAGCGUGGGGAGCAAACAGGAUUAGAUACCCGCGUAGUCCCUGUCUCUUAUACA
rnacentral:rRNA from 1 species